UACAGAGGGUGCAAGCGUUAAUCGGAAUUACUGGGCGUAAAGCGCGCGUAGGGGGUUUGUUAAGUUGGAUGUGAAAGCCCCGGGCUCAACCUGGGAACUGCAUCCAAAACUGGCAAGCUAGAGUACGGUAGAGGGUGGUGGAAUUUCCUGUGUAGCGGUGAAAUGCGUAGAUAUAGGAAGGAACACCAGUGGCGAAGGCGACCACCCGGACUGAUACUGACACUGAGGUGCGAAAGCGUGGGGAGCAAACAGG
rnacentral:rRNA from 1 species